UUGCACGCUGGCGGCAUGCUUUACCCCUGCCAGUCGCACGGUAACAGCACUUCGGUGGCUGACGAGUGGCGAACGGGUGAGUAAUACAUCGGAACGUGCCUAGUAGUGGGGGAUAACUACUCGAAAGAGUAGCUAAUACCGCAUGAGAUCUAAGGAUAACAGCAGGGGACCUUCGGGCCUUGCGCUACUAGAGCGGCUGAUGGCAGAUUAGGUAGUUGGUGGGAUAAAAGCUUACCAAGCCGACGAUCUGUAGCUGGUCUGAGAGGACGACCAGCCACACUGGGACUGAGACACGGCCCAGACUCCUACGGGAGGCAGCAGUGGGGAAUUUUGGACAAUGGGCGCAAGCCUGAUCCAGCAAUGCCGCGUGCAGGAUGAAGGCCUUCGGGUUGUAAACUGCUUUUGUACGGAACGAAAAGCCCUCUUCUAAUACAGGAGGGUCAUGACGGUACCGUAAGAAUAAGCACCGGCUAACUACGUG
rnacentral:rRNA from 1 species